rnacentral:rRNA from 1 species
GACGAACGCUGGCGGCGUGCUUAACACAUGCAAGUCGAACGAGAAGAGAUGAGAAGCUUGCUUCUUAUUAAUUCGAGUGGCAAACGGGUGAGUAACGCGUAAGCAACCUGCCCUUCAGAUGGGGACAACAGCUGGAAACGGCUGCUAAUACCGAAUACGUUCUUUUUGUCGCAUGGCAGAGGGAAGAAAGGGAGGCUCCUCGGAGCUUUCGCUGAAGGAGGGGCUUGCGUCUGAUUAGCUAGUUGGAGGGGUAACGGCCCACCAAGGCGACGAUCAGUAGCCGGUCUGAGAGGAUGAACGGCCACAUUGGGACUGAGACACGGCCCAGACUCCUACGGGAGGCAGCAGUGGGAAUC